CUCUCUCUCUCUCUCGAUCUCUCUUGACACCACCGAAUCAUCUCUAUCAAGAGAUUCAGCCAGAUCUCAAGCUCUCCUUCCCUCUCUUUCGUCGCUUCCUUCAUCUCUCGCUCAGCACCUCUAGAAGAACCCAGACUCCUCCUCCUCUCUCUCUUAUCCUUCUUCUCUCUCUAUUUCCUCUGGUUUGGUAACACUGAAAGAGAGAGGGAGACCAGAGACUGAAAGAGAGAGUUUGGGUGCCAGAUCAGAGAAAGAGGGAUAGCAGUGGUUGUGCGCUCAUCUUGCAAAAUCUGUAAACUCUGUAUAUACCAAUUACAGAGAAAAGGACGCACCCAUACUGCUGCAGAGAUCAUUGCGAAAGCAAUUCUCAGUCGAAAGGCAGGUUACUUAAAUUAGGAAGCUUCCACCAGCCAAGAUGUUGGUCAAGAAGCCGCCAAUUUGUUGAACUCAAUAAGCCG